GCUGGGCAUGGUGGCGCAUGCCUGUAAUCCCAGCUACUUGGGAAGCUGAGGCAGGAGAAUUGCUUGAAUCCAGGAGGCAGAGGUUGCAAUGAGCUGAGAUCACACCACUGCAUUCCAGCCUGGGCCACAAAGUAAGACCCCGUCUCAA
ensembl:misc_RNA Metazoa_SRP Metazoan signal recognition particle RNA